AUAUACAUGGAGGAGAGAAUUUGGGAAUUCAUCGAGAGAAACUUGUGAAUGGCCUACUCAUUGUUCUAGCAAUCGCUUAUAUGCCCUCGGCUCUCGGGUAGAGAAAAUUUUGGGGCUCAUUUCCAGGUCAACACAGCAUGGUUCACUUGAUUAUAGAAGAAAAAUUUGUACUAUUCUCAGGCUAAUAAAAGUUGUUUGUGUUAACUUAAUCUGUGUUAUAGCUGCCAUGUACCAUUAGUACCAGAUGUACAAAAAUAAUGCAACACUCCAUUUCCUGGGAAGAAAUUAAUUUGUUUUUCACCAUCACUACUUUUGAUUAAUGGCAUAUCUAAUGUAUUG
rnacentral:misc_RNA from 1 species